GAGUUUGAUCCUGGCUCAGAUUGAACGCUGGCGGCAGGCCUAACACAUGCAAGUCGAGCGGUAGAGAGAAGCUUGCUUCUCUUGAGAGCGGCGGACGGGUGAGUAAUGCCUAGGAAUCUGCCUGGGUAGUGGGGGAUAACGUUCGGAAACGGACGCUAAUACCGCAUACGUCCUACGGGAGAAAGCAGGGGACCUUCGGGCCUUGCGCUAUCAGAUGAGCCUAGGUCGGAUUAGCUAGUUGGUGAGGUAAUGGCUCACCAAGGCGACGAUCCGUAACUGGUCUGAGAGGAUGAUCAGUCACACUGGAACUGAGACACGGUCCAGACUCCUACGGGAGGCAGCAGUGGGGAAUAUUGGACGAAUGGGCGAAAGCCUGAUCCAGCCAUGCCGCGUGUGUGAAGAAGGUCUUCGGAUUGUAGAGCACUUUAAGUUGGGAGGAAGAGUUGUAGAUUAAUACUCUGCAAUUUUGACGUUACCGACAGAAUAAGCACCGGCUAACUCUGUGCC
rnacentral:rRNA from 1 species